rnacentral:rRNA from 1 species
AUACGGAGGAUGUGAGCGUUAUCCGGAUUUAUUAGGUUUAAAGGGUGUGUAGGCGGUAUUUUAAGUCAGUGGUGAAAUCUCGGAGCUUAACUUCGAAACUGCCAUUGAUACUGGAAUACUUGAGUAUAGUUGAGGUAGGCGGAAUAUGUAAUGUAGCGGUGAAAUGCAUAGAUAUUACAUAGAACACCGAUUGCGAAGGCAGCUUACUAAACUAUUACUGACGCUGAUGCACGAAAGCGUGGGGAGCGAACAGGAUUAGAAACCCUAGUAGUCC